GUGGAUUAGAUACCCCAGUAGUCCACGCCCUAAACGAUGUCAACUAGUUGUUCGGUGAGGAGACUCAUUGAGUAACGCAGCUAACGCGUGAAGUUGACCGCCUGGGGAGUACGGCCGCAAGGUUAAAACUCAAAGGAAUUGACGGGGACCCGCACAAGCGGUGGAUGAUGUGGAUUAAUUCGAUGCAACGCGAAAAACCUUACCUACCCUUGACAUGCCAGGAACUUGCCAGAGAUGGCUUGGUGCCCGAAAGGGAGCCUGGACACAGGUGCUGCACGGCCGUCGCCAACU
rnacentral:rRNA from 1 species